rnacentral:tRNA from 1 species
GUUUCCAUAGCUCAAUUGGAAGAGCAUUUGUCUACGAAACAAAAGGUUCGGGGUUCGAAUCCCUGUGGAAACGCCA